GCCCGAGUGGUGGAACUGGUAGACACGCACGACUCAAAAUCGUGUACCGCAAGGUGUGAGAGUUCGAGUCUCUCCUUGGGCACCA
rnacentral:tRNA from 1 species